rnacentral:rRNA from 1 species
GCUUGUCUCAAAGAUUAAGCCAUGCAUGUCUAAGUAUAAACGACUUUAUACUGUGAAACUGCGAAUGGCUCAUUAUAUCAGUUAUAGUUUAUUUGAUGGUCCUUGCUACUUGGAUAACCGUAGUAAUUCUAGAGCUAAUACAUGCAUCAAACCCCGACUUCUGGAAGGGGUGUAUUUAUUAGAUGGAAACCAAUGCAGGGCAACCUGGAAUAUGGUGAUUCAUAAUAACUUCGCAAAUCGCAGUAAUACUGCGAUAAAUCAUUCAAGUUUCUGCCCUAUCAUGCUCUCGAUGGUAGUGUAUUGGACUACCAUGGCUCUCACGGGUAACGGGGAAUUAGGGUUCGAUUCCGGAGAAGGAGCCUGAGAAACGGCUACUACAUCUAAGGAAGGCAGCAGG